rnacentral:rRNA from 1 species
UACGUAGGGGGCAAGCGUUGUCCGGAAUUAUUGGGCGUAAAGAGCGCGUAGGCGGUCCGGUAAGUCGGUUGUGAAAGUCGGGGGCUCAACCCUCGGAUGCCGAUCGAUACUGUCGGGCUAGAGUCCGGAAGAGGCGAGUGGAAUUCCUGGUGUAGCGGCGAAAUGCGCAGAUAUCAGGAGGAACACCAAUGGCGAAGGCAGCUCGCUGGGACGGUACUGACGCUGAGGCGCGAAAGCGUGGGGAGCAAACAGG